GGAUGCUGAGGGCAAUCUGGCUGCAACAUCUGCCACGUCAUUGAUCACCAGGGUUGAUCUGGCAGAUCUGGUUGGUGAGGCGAGUGUCCCUUUCUUCCCUCACAGUUCCCUGUGUGUCCCUGUCCCUCAUAUGCAGAGAAGAGUCACUUCCGGCAAAGGAAGACAUUUCUCAGUCAAGGGUAUUCGGAAGCAGCUGCACUGCCUUAUUAGAACCUCCAAACAAGCUGUCAAAUUAAUGGAGGUAGUUGGAUCUUGGGACAGAAGUAAAGGCCUAUAGUUAGUCAAACCUAG
ensembl:misc_RNA 7SK 7SK RNA